UCAAGCUAAUAAGGGCGCAAGGGGGAUGCCUUGGCAUUGGAAGCCGAUGAAGGACGUAGCGAUCUACGAUAAGCCUCGGGGAGACGAAAGCAGUCAUCGAUCCGGGGAUUUCCGAAUGGGGAAACCCGCUGGAGCAAUACUCCAGCAACUCUUUGUGAAUCAAAUAGCAAAUUGUGGGGAACCGCCUGAACUGAAACAUCUAAGUAGGGCGAGGAAAAGAAAUCAACCGAGAUUCCGCUAGUAGUGGCGAGCGAACGCGGAAGAGGCCAAACCAAGGGUAGUAAUACCUUUGGGGUAUGGACAGCGCACGGUAUUGAGGAUCGAUAGUGGAAUGAAAUGGGAAGUUCAACCAUAGAGUGUGAGAGUCACGUACACGAAAUUGAGAAUCAGCCAGCUGUAUCCGGAGUACCGCCGGACACGUGAAACCCGGUGGGAAUAUGGGGGGACCACCCUCCAAGCCUAAAUACUCUCCAAUGACCGAUAGUGUAUAGUACUGUGAAGGAAAGGUGAAAAGAACCCCUGGCGGGGAGUGAAAAAGAACCUGAAACCUUGUGCCUACAAGCACAUAGAGCACAUCAACGUGUGAUAUGGUACCUUUUGUAGAAUGGUCCGGCGAGUAAAUGUCACUAGCGAGGUUAAGGACUUAAGGUCUGCAGCCGAAGCGAAAGCGAGUCUUAACUGGGCGCUUUAGUUAGUGGUAUUUGACCCGAAACCGAGUGACCUAGCCAUGAGCAGGCUGAAGUGGAGGUAAAACUCCAUGGAGGGCCGAACCCACUCCCGUUGAAAUGGUAGGGGAUGACUUGUGGCUAGCGGAGAAAUUCCAAUCGAACUCGGAUAUAGCUGGUUCUCUCCGAAAUAGCUUUAGGGCUAGCCUCAAUUAACAUUACCGAAGGUAAAGCACUGACUGAGCUAGGGGGCGAAAGCUUACUGAACUCUAUCAAACUAAGAAUGUCGGAUAAUGAAUGAUUGGGAGUCACACUGCGUGAGAUAAGUUUCGCGGUGGAAAGGGAAACAGCCCAGACCUACAGCUAAGGUCCCAAAGUAUGGUUAAGUGGAAAAGGAUGUGGAAUUGCGUAGACAACCAGGAUGUUGGCUCAGAAGCAGCCACUCAUUUAAAGAGUGCGUAAUAGCUCACUGGUCGAGUGACUCUGCGCCGAAAAUUUAACGGGGCUAAACCAUACACCGAAGCUUAGGAAUAUACUUUUAGUAUGUUGGUAGGAGAGCGUCGUAUACGGGGUGAAGUUACAGCGGAAGCGGUAGUGGACUGUAUACGAGUGAGAAUGCCGGAAUGAGUAGCGAGAAUUAUGUGAGAAUCAUAAUGGCCGAAAGACUGAGGUUUUAGAAGGAAGGUUCGUCCGCUUCUAGUUAGCCGGGGGCUAAGGCGAGGCCGAGAGGCGUAGUCGAUGCACAUACGGUAGAGAUUCCGUAGCCACCUUGAAUUUAAACUGAGGGACACAUUGAAAGGGUAUAUCCCGGGCGUUGGUUGACCCGGGCGUAAGGGAGCUAACAUAUCAGCGAAGUAUACUUGGACAGUGGCGAGAAAAGCUCAGUGUAUAUAAUCAGGGUGCCCGUACUGCAAACCGACACAGGUAGUCAGGAAGAGAAUUCUAAGGCCAACGGGAGAAGGAUUGUUAAGGAACUCGGCAAAUUGACCCCGUAACUUCGGAAUAAGGGGUGCUCACGAGAGUGAGCCGCAGUGAAUAGGUCCAGGCAACUGUUUAUCAAAAACACAGCUCUCUGCUAAAUCGUAAGAUGAUGUAUAGGGGGUGACACCUGCCCGGUGCUGGAAGGUUAAGAGGAGGAGUGCAAGCUCCGAAUUGAAGCCCCAGUAAACGGCGGCCGUAACUAUAACGGUCCUAAGGUAGCGAAAUUCCUUGUCGGGUAAGUUCCGACCCGCACGAAUGGUGUAAUGAUCUGGGCACUGUCUCAAUUACCCGCCCGGCGAAAUUGUAGUACCGGUGAAGAUGCCGGUUACCCGCGACAAGACG
rnacentral:rRNA from 1 species